rnacentral:rRNA from 1 species
AGGGAAUAUUGCGCAAUGGGCGAAAGCCUGACGCAGCGACGCCGCGUGGGUGAUGAAGGCCUUCGGGUCGUAAAGCCCUGUCGAGGGGAAAGAAACGGUCUCGACCUAACACGUCGGGUCCCUGACGGUACCCCUAAAGGAAGCACCGGCUAACUCCGUGCCAGCAGCCGCGGUAAGACGGAGGGUGCUAGCGUUGUUCGGAAUCACUGGGCGUAAAGGGCGCGUAGGCGGCGUCGCAAGUCGGCUGUGAAAGCCCGGGGCUCAACCUCGGAGGUGCAGCCGAGACUGCGGUGCUCGAGGCCGGAAGAGGAGGGUGGAAUACCCAGUGUAGAGGUGAAAUUCGUAGAUAUUGGGUGGAACACCGGUGGCGAAAGCGGCUCUCUGGUCCGGUACUGACGCUGAGGCGCGAAAGCGUGGGGAGCAA